GGCAGCGGCUUAACCCACUGAGCCACCCAGGCGCCCCAAAAGACUGCCUCUUAAUGAGAGGUCACAGGGCAGGGGACCAGGAUACUGGAGACAUUUUGCUGUCAAUCUAGAACAUAAGGCCUGUUCCCCCUCAGGCUGGUAUGGUACAAGCUCUGAGGAGCUGCCCAAUCCACGAGGGCAGUUGUGGACGUCAGUGUGCGCUGCCAACCAGCAUCAUUGCCUACAGCGCCACAAAUCAGUGGGGCUAGCACCUCCCCGCCAUGCUCCAGAAGCCGGCCUGAGAGGUGAAGGGUUAGUCUCCCCUCCUCCUGCCACAGAGCUUGCUUUGGGCACCCAUACAGACCUCUCCCACUGCAGGAACUGGCUCCACAGGGAUUGUUCAUUUCAGGCCAGUGAGACUGGAGCAGAUGUUCACACAUUGCCUUGAGGACAGAGAGCCCUCCUAAGAGAGCCACCAGGGAGAGAUGACUCUUCUUCCUCGAUGUGAGGCUGGAACUGCUACUGGCUUGGAGACCAAGCUCCUGCGUCAGGCAUGUUUUGAAGCCCACCCCACCUUUGGACUGCUAGCUACGGGAGUUAAUAUGCAUCCUUUGAAACUCUAAGAGCUCCCGAGGGAAUCUGGACAGGCCAUCGUCCGUGUAUUUCCUUGAAAUCAAGUGGAAUGGAUUUCCAUCUCACAUAACAAUUGACCAUGUCUUUCCUUCAGAAGAUGGCCUCUUAAGUGUUCAGGAGUGAAGAGUAUCUGAUGCCUGCAACUACUUCCAGAUGGUUCUUCAGGAACAGGAGCUUCAUCUGCACCAGCUUGAUGUUCUUCUGCGCCUCUGUCACCUGCUCCACCAGCUCCUUCAUGGACUUUUCCUCCUGGAGGCGCCUCUCAGCGCACUGCUGCAGCAGCUCCGCCGUCUGCUCGGACAACCGACCCGGCACGGUCAGAGCCAGAGGUGCCCCCUGGAGCAGACCUGUGUCUCCUGCUCUGUCCCUGCCCCAGGAGCUGCAUGAGGCCUGGGGAAGAGAACCAGCCCCUGACCCCCAGUCACCUUGGAACCCGAAUCUAAGCUCCUCAGCUCCUGGGAGUCCCCUGGAGGUCAGGGGAGUUUCCACCUCAUCUCCUCCCUUCCUCCACUGUGGUUCUGGGGAAACCGAGUCAGAGCCACUGGGUUUGCCCCAAAGCCCACACUCCCCUGGAUGCCAGGUGAGAGAGGUGGGUUCUCAUUGGUUGGAAGCCCUGGGGAACACAGGACUUGCCAGCCCUCCGGGCAGCCUCAGGCUCCUGUCUUAUGAGGCCCCAGGCAUGUCCUGUUGGUCAUCCCGCUCUCUUCUUUCUCACAGUGCCUCAUUAGGGCAGAGUCUUAAACAACGGGACAGAGGGCGGUUUUGCCACUUGGAUGCACAUGACUGGCACCCUCCUGUGUGUCCAGGGACUUCUCGCCUUUUUGGCUCCAUUCUGUAUUCAUUUGCCUUGCACUGUGGUCUCCUGGACUGUAGCUGGCUUAUUUUUGCAGCUGUAUGUUUUGGGGACUAUAUCACAAAGCUUUCAUCCAUUCUACUGUGGAUGGACAUUCAGAUUGCUUCUGGCUUGGUGCUAUGGUGAAUAAUUCAGAACACUGUUUUUAGUCCUCAAGACACUGCAAGGCACAGCAUGGGGUUUACACCUCCCGUCACUGGCCCAGGGCGGCCAUGGAGCGAACCACUCCCAGCUCCAGCUGCCUGUGCAAUGGGGAGCUCAUCUUUAGCUGCACAGUAAGAUGGAGUCAGCCUGCAGGCAGCUUGGACUUCAGGCUUAGAGAUGGGGCAUGAACAAUCCUUCUGUAAAACAGUUUGCUGGCAUGCAUCAAAAAUGGCUCUUGACCAACCUUUUCAAUUUAGACCAUAGAGUUAGAAGUGCUCACACGGCAGAAGGACAGAGGGCAGGCAGAGGGAUACAGGAGCCCACCUGGAAGAGCUUCCAAAAGCCAAAGCUUGCAGCAAAUACUGUCCCAUUGGGUGAUAACACAAAGUGUAAAACAACUAUGCAUGAGUCCCCACCGAAAGAAGUAAUCAAAUGAAUAAGUAAGUGAGGGAGAGGAGAGGAGUCCUCCGUGCAGAGGAAUUCUCUGUAGGCAUUGCUUUCUGAGUGUGGGCUUUGCUUACAGACCCCCUUCUGUGGAGUAUCGAAUGGUGGGGGAGAUGAUGGCAGUGGAGAGAACUGGCAGGCACGACCUUGACCAGGGGACCAAGGUCAACAUCCCAGUGAUGAGUCCGAUGAAAGCAGAUGCCCUUGAGAACAUGUGAUAAGAAGAGCACUUCGCCCCUGCAGUCUUGCUUCCAAAACCCACCGCCCCAGUCUCACCAUGAGAAGAACAUCAGACAUAUUCCCACCAAGGAGCAGUCCACAGAAUAUCGGACCAGCUCCCCUCCAAACUGUCAAGGUCAUCAAAAACAAGAUAAGUAUUAGAAACCGUCACAGCCAAGAAGAGUCUGAGACAUGACCUUUAAAUGUAAUGUGGGGCCCUGGGAUAAGAAAAGGGCAUUUGUGAGGAGGGAAAUGAGCUGAAAUCUUAAGGAAGUGUGGAGUUUAGUGAAGAGUCAUGUACCAGUGUUGGUUACUUAGCUGUGACAAAUAUCCCAUGGUGCAUUAUGCCAGUGUCCCCCCACAAUUCACAUCUACCUGGAACCUCAGAAUGUGAUCUUAUGUCCAAGUAGGUGAGGAUGCAAGGAUUCAAGGAAGGACCCUCCCCGAGGAGCUUAGCAGAGAGUGUGGCCCCACUGCCACCUUGCUUGACCUUGAACCUGGGGCCUCUGGAACUGUGAUCUGAACCCUCCGCACCGUGGGGCUUUGUUGUGGCAACCCUGGAGACCUGGUGUGGUGUUGGAAGAUGUCACCAGCAGGAUAGUUGGGUGGGAGGACACGGGAACACCCUGCACUAUCUUGGCAACUUUUCUGUAACUCU